rnacentral:rRNA from 1 species
AUACGGAGGGUGCGAGCGUUGUUCGGAAUUACUGGGCGUAAAGCGGGUGUAGGCGGUGGACCAAGUCAGGUGUGAAAGCCCUCGGCUCAACCGAGGAAGUGCAUCUGAAACUGGUUCACUAGAGUACGGGAGAGGAGAGUGGAAUUCCCAGUGUAGAGGUGAAAUUCGUAGAUAUUGGGAGGAACACCGGUGGCGAAGGCGGCUCUCUGGAACGAUACUGACGCUGAGACCCGAAAGCGUGGGGAGCAAACAGGAUUAGAAACCCCAGUAGUCC